UACAAAUGGGGAAAUAAAGAUUAUUAAUAAGGAAAAAUCAGAGCUACAAAGAAAAGAAGUUAUAGGAUUAGGUUAAAAUUAUUUUAAUAUCUGAAACUUAAAUUCUUGCUUUUGAUUCUCACUGCAGUCCUUGUAAAAUACUCUAGGAAAUAAUAUUAUUCUCACUUUAUAGGUGAAGAAACUGAAGUCUGAAGAAAGAUUAUUAUGUACCUAGAAUCACAAAGAUAGUAAGUUACUAAGUGGUGGGUUAAGGAAAAUAAUUCAGAUUCUCUGAUGCUCAGCCAGGGGUCUGUUUCUACAUAUUGGUAAAGGACAAAUCUAAUAAAAUGAUUCUUAGCUCUGGUUGCAUAUUUUUCCUAGAGAGGUUUGGAGAAAUACUUAUGACCUGGGCCUCAUAUUUAGAGGUGCUCAUUUAAUGAGUCUGAGGUGAGACUUGGUCUUUGAUGUUUUUCUGAUUCUGUUAUGCAGUGAAGAUUGAUUGAUGGAAAGUCUGAUAGAUUGAAAGUUAACUGUAGAGCUCCAGCUGUAGAUCAGGCCCGUACAAUGGCGGAGAAGAAUCAAAAGAGGACCAAGGACGGUGAUUCACCCCAAAGCACGAAUUAUUGCUGAAGCUGGGCCAAUAGUGAUUGGUGAAGGUAACCUGAUAGAAGAACAGGCCCUCAUCAUAAAUGCUCAUCCAGAUAAUAUCACUCCUGACACUGAAGAUCCAGAACCCAAACCUAUGAUCAUUGGCACCAACAAUGUGUUUGAAGUUGGCUGUUAUUCCCAAGCCAUGAAAAUGGGGGAUAACAAUGUCAUUGAAUCAAAAGCAUAUGUAGGCAGAAAUGUAAUAUUGACAAGUGGUUGCAUCAUUGGGGCUUGUUGCAACCUAAAUACUUUUGAAGUCAUCCCUGAGAAUACAGUGAUCUAUGGUGCAGACUGCCUUCGUCGGGUGCAAACUGAGCGACCACAGCCCCAGACUCUACAACUGGAUUUCUUGAUGAAAAUCUUGCCAAAUUAUCACCACCUAAAGAAGACUAUGAAAGGAAGCUCAACUCCAGUUAAGAACUGAGAACAGGGUAUAUCAAGAUAACGUUCCCUCUUUGACUACUCUCUUUCGAAAGGGCCACAGUGUUUGUACAUUCUUAGCAGCUCACAGAAUAAUGUGUGUUGACUUUAUUUGAUAAAACUGAGAGAGGAAAUUAGUGGAUUUCCAUUGUAACUGUCCUUUAUAAUUUAUAUAAAAAUGUAUUAUUUUCCUAUACCUAUGCUCUUUUCUGAUAAUUUACAGAUUCAUUUUUUCUUUUGUUAUAUAAAAUGUUAGGCACAAAUUAAUUAUGUAAAAGACUACUUAUGAUAAGAAAUGGCAUGAGGUUAUGUAUUCUAGCAUAUGCUAAACUAAAUAAAUAAAACUGCUGAUUGACAAAAAAAAAAAAAAAGAAAGUUAACUGUAAAAAGUUCAGAUCCCACUACUGUGCCUACUACUAUGGUACCCAAGGAAAGAUUAUUUUAAGAAUAGAAAUUUCAGCAACUCUGGAGGUGGAGGCAAGAAGAUAGCAAGUUCAAAGCCAGCCUUAACAACUUAGUGAGGCCCUAAGUAAUGUAGCAAGACUGCGUCUCAAAAUCAAGAAUAAAAAGGGCUGGGGAUGUAGCUUAAUGUUUCAGUACCCCUCCAGUCCCUGGUACCAAAAGAAAAAAGAAAAACCACCUCUAGCAAUAGGGUAAAAUUGAAAAAGCCUUGAAAACUAAUGUAAUAUUUUUGCAUAGUAGGUUACCAUUAAAUUUUAGACAAAUGUAUGACCUGAGUUUCCAGAAGUUGCUUUAAUAUAUGUUAUCUUAUGCUAUAUAAAUUCUACAUACUUAGAUCAAUUCCAUAAUUAAGAGUAGGCUUUCUCUCAAUACCAUUUGUUUUCUUGUAGGACCUAUACAAAUCAGCUUUCUUCUAUUUUGAGGGAACAUUCUACAAUGAUAAAAGAUACCCAGAAUGCAGAGAUUUGAGCAGGUAUAGUUUACAAAAAUUUUCUCUAAGUCCUUUCCUUUUUCUACUUCUAAAAACAGAUAGCUCCACAAAUCCUAUUAUUAGUCCAUUAAGGAUCUUUGCCAAGGAAUUUUAUAAAUUUCAUAUUGAAAUUACACAUAUCUAAAAAAAAUUAGGUCCAAGACUAAGAUUUUA
rnacentral:lncRNA from 1 species